CGCGUCAGCGUGCGUACGCCGCAGACAUUCGUGCCAUCGCCGGCGGCCGCCGCCAACUCCGCCGUCGCCGCCGAUUGCGAAAUCCCUACUCCGACGAAAUAAUCAUAAUAUCCGCCGCCCUCGGCUCGGACGAGACGACCCGCUGAACUUAAGCAUAUCGCUAAGCGGAGGAAAAGAAACCAACCGGGAUUCCCUUAGUAACGGCGAGUGAACCGGGAGAAGCCCAACGCCGAAUCCCGUCGCAAGUAAAAGGCUUCGGGACGUGUGGCGCAUGGGUCGAAGAUAGUCGUUCGUUUUCGUCUCGCGUAGUUCGGAGUUCCCUCGAUCGGGGCCGCCCGCGGCGGGUGCCAGGCCCAUUCGGUGCGGACGGCGAGCGACGGUCUUCGAUCCGAGAGUCGGGUUGCUUGGGAACGCAGCCCAAAUCGGGUGGUAAGCUCCAUCCAAGGCUAAAUACCGGGACGAGUCCGAUAGUCGACAAGUACCGUGAGGGAAAGUUGAAAAGAACUUUGGAGAGAGAGUUCAAGAGAACGUGAAACCGCCCAGGGGUAAACGGGUGGGACCGCUCACCGCGAUCGCGGGGGGACUCAGUCCGGUGCUGCCUAGGCUCGAGCCCAAACUCGAUGUGUACCUCUAACAGGCUGUCGCGGACGUCGUCGUCUUCGUGUCCGCGGGGGACUCGUCCUCCGCGGGCCAGCUUUUGUGCCCGCGUCGCCGACGAAGGAGACGGGCCGCGUAGACAGCGGGAAGGGAAACGUGGUCACGACCGCGGCGACGGCGGCUGCGAUGGGGGGGACCGCGGGGUUCGCGCCUCUCGCCCUCUCUACUCGCUGCCGCCGGCCUGCCGCAUCCGUCGCCGCCGCUUCUUCUUUCCUCUCGCUCCCUGUGCGCGCGACUCCGCUGCACUCGUCGCCUUCUCACCGCUCGGCAAUCUAUGACGCGGGCGCUUCGGCGCGACUUCCGCACGGCCGGCACCGGACGCACUUCCCCUCCGGUCCGUCGUCGCGACCCGUUCCCGGCGUGCAGGUCGACACGCGGGUUUUUCCGUAGGCGGCAGGCGCUUUUGAAAACCCCCGCGCCGUCACCUCGGUGGCGCGCGCGGGGGCCACCGGCCGUCGGGCCCGCGAACGUAACUGCCCCCUUCUGCCGGGGACGGAGGAAAUCUGACGCGAUCCGUUAUACGUGGCGAGCCGGUUCGUCUUUAAUCCCGUCGGACGUCUCGCGCGGGCGACGCUCGCGCGUCGCUCCCUCGGCGCCCCACCGUCUCGGGCGUGCGCGAGAGAAGAGUCGGGAGAGAACUGGCGCGGCCUCGCCGUCACGCACCUCGCCGGUGUUCGGGUUCUUUCGGGGGUCGACCCCGACCGCGCUCGUUCCGUCCGGCGACGGUCGCUCGGCGACGCCCUUUUUAGCGGCCGCCCGCCACCUCGGGUCAGCGACGUGCAUCGGCAACCCACCCGACCCGUCUUGAAACACGGACCGAGGAGUCCUGGCCGUUCGCGAGUCGUAGGGGCCCCCUCUGACUAACCCCGAAGGCGUAGCGAAAGCGAGAGAGCGUGUCGGAGGGCGCCGACCGGGAGAGGUGUCGUGGCGAAGUCGUCGGUGGGGGAGGGAUGGCGUUCGGCUUCGGCCGUCUCUCUAUUCUCCCCCCCUCCGCCUCCGAGCCGUGCCCGAUCCCGCCGGCGCGGUGUCUCGCCUUCCGCCGCCGUUCGCCGCAGGCCCGCACUUCUCCUCCUCGGCGAGGGAAGGCCUGCGGCUGGCGCGCGGUCGUAAUUCUCGUUCCCUCCUCCCCGAGCAGGGGACCGGUCUCAUGGGAAUUGCGGGGCAUCAGCUUUUCCAUCCUCCUUCCGCCCAUCGGUGAGAUCCCGCGGCUUGAACUAGUCCUAUUUUGUCGUCGAGUUUAGGCACUGCGCGCGGGCGCAUCACCCCCGGGUCGGUUUCCUUUUCCGAGUACGACUCGGCCGACUCUGGCGUAGCGAGCGACCAGGGACCCGAAAGAUGGCGAUCCACGCCCGGUCGGGAUGAAGCCAGAGGAAACUCUGGUGGAAGUCCGAAGCGCCUCUGACGUGCAAAUCGAUCGUCGGAACCGGGUGUAGGGGCGAAAGACCAAUCGAGCCGUCUAGUAGCUGGUUCCCUCCGAAGUUUCCCUCAGGAUAGCUGGCGCUCGACUGUCGCAAUUCCAUCCGGUAAAGCGAACGAUUGGAGGCCCCGGGGCCGUUCACGGCCUCGACCUACUCUCGAACUCGGAACGGGUGGAACGGGCCGACUCUCCCGAACAACGGAGCCGACCCCAGAUUUUCGCGUCGCCGCCCCGUCGGCGGCGUCGAAAACGAAUGCGAGUGCCAAGUGGGCCACUUUUGGUAAGCAGAACUGGCGCUGUGGGAUGAACCAAACGUCCGGCUAAGGUGCCUAACGCGACGCCCAUGAGAUCCCCGAAAGGGUGUCGGUCGAUAUAGACAGCAGGACGGUGGCCACGGAAGUCGGAAUCCGCUAAGGAGUGUGUAAC
rnacentral:rRNA from 1 species